GCCUGCCGCCGCCGGGGCCGGGGCGGGCGGGGCAGCGGGAAGCACGUUGCGAGGGAGGAGGCGCAGGGAGCGCGGCUGGGAGCGGGCCGAGCGCUGAUCCCGCCCCGCCCCGUGCGCUGGAGCGAGCCAGACCGGGCCCCCCUUACUCCUGACAGCCCCCCCCCCCCACAAGACUCGCUUUUCACGCUCGCGAGGCUGCCCUGAGGCCCAGGCAAUGACCUACUGAGUCCCCCCUAGCAAGGGACAGACAAGGCAGUAAGAGGUGGCUUUGUAAAUAGGUUUGCAGCAACAGACAGACAAAGGAAACUCCCUUGCUGGCCGAGGAGAGCUCCUUGGACAUCAAGUAAGGGCAAUGCUGCUCCGACCCACCUCAGUUCCUUUGCACCAAAUAUCAAGAGUUGAGACUCUGAUGCCGAGGCGAUAGAGGACAGCUUUAAAAAGCUCGCUCCUAAGCAACCAGAGGAGCUAGCGAACAGGAGCGGCUAACAGGAGUUUCGUGAGGGAGUUCGCCAGGUAAAGGAGGACCCUUGGGGCCUAUAGUUGAGAUGCCCCAUUCCGUGAAGACGGACCUCAGCACAUUGGUCUUCAGAGAAAUUCCUGGUGAAGUGAUUGGUCAAGUGAUUCUGGACCCACUCUCCCUGGAGCUGAGGACUGGAGAAUAUGCAGCAACUUAAUUGAUUCAUAGAUUCUAAGGCCAGAAGGGAUAUCUUCCUCUUCUCCCUCACCUUCUCAGUAUAGCUCUUAAAAAGCUGUCGUGACCUCCUGGGGAUCACCAUCGGCACCAAGAUCAGCACCACUCCCAUAGCAGUGAUGGAUCCUUCACUCACUUCCACCAAUACCGUGCCCCUCCGUAGAGUGGCCUCCUGAGAACCCCUGUGAUGUUCCACAGAAAGCAAGAUCCUGAUCUUUAGUUCAGUCCAGAGUGAGGUCACCUAUUCUGCUGGCAGCCUCCUCUCCUGAAUCUCGAUGCUGCAAUCAGACAUGGGUUGCUCUUGCUAAACUGGUUGCACCCGAACCGGUGUUACAGUUGCUGUAGGAGAUCCCAUUUGCUUUCUUCCUUCCACUGCCUCACCAAAAGACUGCAGUGCCAGAUUCUUCAUUCUCUGUACCUGAGGAUUUUAAAUUUUAUCAGGAUCUCCUGAGGCACAUGUCUUCAGCCUUGAGUAUUCAGGCUGUUUGUUGAGGAGAACACCUGGGAGAGGAACAUGAAUCUGUCCGAACAGCCCAUGCUGGCUCACAUGCUCUUUGAGGUGCUGAAGCAGGUUUCGUGACCUGCUCCUGAAGAUGUUGCUGCUUCAAGUGCAAGUCUCUGGCCACUUGCAUUCUCCUCUUGAGCAACUUGCAGAUGGAGCACCUUUCUUUAAUAUGCCCUUUCCCAAGGCACAAACAUUGAGUGCAGGGGUUUGCCACUGUGGAUAGCUACCCUACACAAUGGGCAGUGUUUAAAUCCCAGUGAGGGCACCACAUGGGGCAAAUCCUAUUAUUAAUAAACUAAACGUAAAGGUACUUCUAAGCUAACAAUACAAAGAAAAAAACCCACGGACUGCACUGUGAACCAAAGCAGGAGGUAAAAACCACACUGAGUGCUCCAACUCAAGAAGCAGAUGGUGAGAAGGAAUUGAGGGGGUUUGGGGCAAUGCUGCUCUUAAACAGUCAGGGGAGGGGUUAAGUGCCUGGAGGGUGCAAGCACCACAUUUAGAGAUACUACUAGGCAAAGUUCUCUGGCUUCCGUGUGCUGGACAUGCACACCUGAGUGGAACAUACAUCUGCAACCAAAGAAUAGAGAGCUCAGAGGUUCUCUAUCUUUGUCACAGGGGGAGGCAGGGAAAGAAUGACUUGUUAAAUAAUUUCAUAGCUCUUCUUUCCCAUUCCCCAUCCUGCUGCCUGCAGUUCAAAAUGUUUUAUUGUGUGGCUCUGCCAUCGGCUAUACAAAUGCUAAUUAUUAACAUAAUUUUACCAACCGUCAGUAGUUAGUACUAUAUCAGUACCUACUAAUAUUAGACAAAAACGGCAACUUCUGCCACCACUUUGUGAUCUUCUAAACUGCUCCCACAAGCUCAGUUUCCUUUUAUUCCUCUUCCUCACAGGUUCCUUAUUGUACUAACCAGCCUUUUGGUUGAUGGAGGACAUGAGUUCCUGCACAACCCUUUGAAACACUCCAAGUGGCCAGAGAGGUGACAACAUAGUGGCUAAAGGCAUCCUCUCGUCAGUUCCAGGGAUGCUUUAAUGCUCCCAUACCUUGUCCGGCACACAGCACACCAUUUUAAGAUCAUCAGAAUGGUUUCUCAUCAGGGGCAUUCAUGAAAGAGUACACCAUUUCCCCAGCUCUCUGUGCUCCAUUCUUUUCAGAGAGCAGGGAACUGAAGCAUGUAAUCCUAGCAACCUUAGUCAUAAUGGAACAGUCCAUUGUUAGGCAAUUCCACUGUAUGCAGAAACUUCUGCUCAAAAUUAUGGAGCUAGGAAUAUUCAGCAAAUUGAUGGCAUUUGAUUUUGGGUAAUUGACAGGCCUGUGCUUUUCAUUGGUUUUAAUUUUUACAAGAGCAUGCGGAGCUUUGAAUGGGAACAUUUAUUGAAAUACAUAAAAACCCAACUAAAUAAAUGAUUGGGUGAACAAAGCUGUAGGGGUUAUUCUUCUCCCCUCAUUGUACACCAACAUUCCUUGCACCUGCCAUUUCUGUUUUUGAAACAGAGUCCUCCAUACAUAUCACAAAUUGCUUUAGGGAAAAAUCACAGACUAAACUGAACAAGAUAAGCAAGGCACGACAGAGAGGAAGUGACUCAAAAACUCUGAAGGGUUACCGUUACUCUUUCAUGCACUGCUCCAUGUACCUCCUGCAGAGUAGCAGGGAAUAGGAGUGGAGCAGGCAGGCAAAGGAGUACGUGUACAGGUCAGAGAGAACAGCUGAAUGAGCAGGUAGGGUGGUUGUAAAACCAGGGGAGCAAAUUUGAAUGGAGGGAGGUAGGAAGCUAGAUGGGGCCAAUAUGACCUGGCUUCCCUAAAAGCAAGUGUCUCUCACUGCAGCAUUCUGGACCUCCUGGUUCCUAACAAGUAGUCCAUGCACUACUGGUAGCCCAGAGAGCUGUCUGGUUGCAUUGUGUUGGCUCUCAUCUGUUUCCAGCAGCUCUGUAUAAUUUCAUUAGAUCAUAAGAAUGGCCAUACUGGGUCCACCUAGCCCAGUAUCCUGUCUUCUGACAGUGGCCAAUGCCAGGUGCUUCAGAAGGAAUGAACAGAACAGGCAAUCAUCAAGUGAUCCAUCCCCUGUCCUCCACCCUCAACUUCUGGCAAACAGAGGAUAGGCACACUUGGAGCAUGGUGUUGCAUAUUAGCCCAUCCUGGCUAAUAGCUACUGAUGUUCAGAUAGCUAAACAUACAGUAAAUACUUUCCAACUAUUACUUGUCCACAGAAACAAUUGCUGUAGUUGCCAUAGUGGUUUUAUUCACUGGUGAAUUGCAGGGAAGGGCUCUAUGAUACAGUGUGGACCUCAUUUUAAUUAGACCCUAUGAAAAUGUAUGAAGA